rnacentral:misc_RNA from 1 species
AAUCAAGGUUCCCCUUUGUCUCGGUGGUGGUUAUUUGAAACGUCGUAUUUUCAUAGCUCAGUAACUAAAUGGGCGGUUUGCAUGAGGUGACUGCUCAUAACUCUCAAGCUUCAAACUUGCGAUCCCUUCUUGCAGGCCCAGCAGUUUUACUAGAAACUGGUCCUUUGGGUCGCCAAGUGGGCAAAAAGAGCUUUAAAAUGUUAGAAGAGAGCAAUGCGCUAGGAGGGUAAUUGAAUUGGUCUUAUGCUCGUAGAGAUCUAUGUUACUUCUUAUAUUUAAAUACAAUCCAAA